rnacentral:sRNA from 1 species
AACAAUUUACUCAUUUACAAAGAUAAUGAUAACAUUCUGAGUUACCAUAACACAUUAAAAACAGAGAUAUCUGAAAUGGUAAGUUUUUUCCAUGUCUCAAUAAAAUAUAUAUUUUCAAAUUUUUCUAUAAAAACUAUUAAUUUGAUAUUAUGUUUUAUGUUUCUUGCAUUUCUGUCUAUCAUGCCAGUAAUACUUGUUAAUGGUUCGUAAAGAGUUGGAAUGAGAUGAUAUAGUUUCAUCCCCUCUUAUAAUUCAAGAGUAAUCAGUGAUUAGUAUUAAGUAUCUUCUUUGUCAUGAAACACCAACUCCGAUGCUCCCUUGGUAUAGAAACUUCAAGGGAAGUAUGAAUACACAGUAACUGGUAUGUACGAUGUGAAUGACAAAGAUAAUAGUAUUCGCAUCACCGAGUUGUAUGUCUAAGUUAAGGUUCUUGGAGAGAUUGGAAAAACGUAGUGUUAUUAAGGCAGAAUCAAUGCUUUUGCAUCAUAAACUAUCAUAGAUUUUUUGUAUGUUUUUUCUAUUUAUGCGUUUAUUUUUCAGGACUACAAAAAUGACGGUAAUAAUAUGUCAAUUGACAUAAAGUUGUCUUUAACUGAAGAGCAGAUGGAGCAUUUUUUGAAUAACUAUAACAAAAAUCCAAGAGGAUUUCUUGGUAUUUUGAGACUAUCCAUACCUUAAAGAACCAACAACAUGUGUUUGCUUAAUUAGUGGUCAACACCUAUAUCACUAAUUAAGAAAAAAAAGCUUACAGUUCUUGUUAUAUUACACUUUCAAAUGUUUUGUGGUCUUUUUGUUUAAACAUUUCACUAGUCUUUUUUCGAAAAACAUGCAAAUUAAAUAACCGUUUAUAAUAUAUUAUCUCCGCAUUUUGAACAAGAUUUGUUCCAAUGGUAAGAUAACGAUACCAUUGUUAAUAUUUUUGUCCAACA